rnacentral:rRNA from 1 species
UACAGAGGUCUCAAGCGUUGUUCGGAUUCAUUGGGCGUAAAGGGUGCGUAGGCGGCGCGGUAAGUCGGGUGUGAAAUCUCGGGGCUUAACUCCGAAACUGCAUUCGAUACUGCCGUGCUUGAGGACUGGAGAGGAGACUGGAAUUUACGGUGUAGCGGUGAAAUGCGUAGAUAUCGGAAGGAAGACCAGUGGCGAAGGCGGGUCUCUGGACAGUUCCUGACGCUGAGGCACGAAGGCCAGGGGAGCAAACGGG